rnacentral:rRNA from 1 species
GACGAACGCUGGCGGCGUGCUUAACACAUGCAAGUCGAACGGUAAGGCCCUGCUUUUGUGGUGUGCCCGAGUGGCGAACGGGUGAGUAACACGUGAGUAACCUGCCCUUGCCUUUGGGAUAACUUCCGGAAACUGGGGCUAAUACCGGAUAGGUGCUCCUGCCGCAUGGUGGGGGUGGGAAGGUUGCGGGGGUUGGGGAUGGACGCGGGGGCUAUCAGCCUGUUGGUGGGGUAGUGGCUUACUAGGGCUUUGACGGGUAGCCGGCCUGAGAGGGUGACCGGCAACGUUGGGACUGAGAUACGGCGCAGACUCCUACGGGAGGGAGCAGUGGGGGAUAUUGCACAGUGGGCGGGAGCCGGAUGCAGCAACGCCGCGUGCGGGAUGACGGCCUUCGGGUUGUGAACCGCUUUCGCCUGUGACGAAGCGUGAGUGACGGUAAUGGGUAAAGAAGCACCGGCUAACUACGUG